rnacentral:lncRNA from 1 species
UGGCGACGCCACCUGACGUGGUUGGCCAUUUGCUGCCACGACAAAGAGUUCCACCCUCUGGGCCUAGCCAUCCACCGCCCUUGGUUGCCACGCCACCUAACAGGGUUGGGGAUUUGCUGCCACGAGGAAGAGUACCACCCUCUGGACCUAGCCAUCCGCCGCCCUUAGUGGCGACGCCACCUAACGGGGUUGGGGAUUUGCUGCCACGAGGAAGAGUACCACCCUCUGGGCCUAGCCAUCCACCACCCUUGGUUGCGACGCCACCUGGCAGGGUUGGGGAUUUGCUUCCACGAAGAAGAGUACCACCCUCCGGGCCUAGCCAUCCGCCUCCGUUGGUGGAAAU